AUGUGGGAAUCAGAUGGAGAGGUAGGGAGUGAGGAGCAACACCAGGCAGAGGUGGUGGGAGGAGAUGCAAGUGAGGCAGAGCCAGGAUGGCAUAGAAGCAUCAGCACAGGCAACUCACUGCACAGAGAGCCAAGUGAGCUACAGGCAGCAGCUGCAGCAGUGAGACAGCCAGCAGGAGCAACAUGAACAACAGAAAAAGAAAGAAGGAAGAAAAAAGAAAGAAAAAGGAAAGAAGAGUAAAGGAAGAAGGAAGGAAGAAGAAGGAGGAAGAAGGAAAAGGAAAGGUGGAAGGCUUUCCCUCUGCUUUUAUCACGCGUGAGCAGAGUUUGGCACAGUAAAAAUGGCAUCCUCCUCCUGUCAAGUGUUUUUGCUCCUACAGUGCCUGUGAAUAGGCACUGUCCAGGAUGAUUCAGAGAGUGGAGCCUCCUCCAGAUAGGCAUUGAUUGUGCUGCUUUGAAUCAGGCAUGAUAUUAGUUGUUUUCCACAUCAGUUUUGUGCUUCAAUCUGCUACAUCACCUCUUAGGGUGGUAGGAUGCUCCAAGCAUGGAACUGGGGGAUCGAGAGCAUCACAAGGCUAUAGUUAUUCACUUGUUUAGUGCUGAAAAUAACACUGACCCGUGUUUUUCCAAGGCUUGCACUUUGGCUGGAUAAAAUGGUUUUUCAUAGAGGCAGUAGAAGGUAUACCUUCUUCAGGUAUGGACUUGCUUCAAAGCACUAAGGAGCUAAAGGAUUCUCUCAAGCAGAUAAAAAGAGAAAGGAACCGGAAAAUUUUAGUCAUAUAUUAUGUUUUAUCUUUCUUUGUUUUUAGAAUUCUAAGAAACAUUUUGUGUGACAUUUAGAAUGCAAUGUUAAGCAUGAUAGAUCCCUUGGAUAGGAAAAUUAUGGUCCAGACUUUAAAUGUUUCAUUGAGUUCUAAACUCAGAGAAAGUAUUUUACUGAAAAUUGUCAAUGUUGACAACCCAGUUUACAAUCAAAAAUGUCUUUUAUCAGUCCUUUAAAACUGAAAACAAACACUCAAUAUCUCUGCAUAGGAUUUAAGUGACUAGGUUUUUAGCCAGGGGAGAGACUGGGGUCCUGUAAGGUUGAAUUCUGUGAGACCAGGAGUAUACCCUAUGUCAGACAGAACCAGUUCCAACUCCAAAAUAGACCCACUGGUGCCCAAAACUGAACCCAUCAGCAAUGCUGGCAACACCUACGUGACAAUGUAUUUAAGAAAGGGUAAGAAUUUAUGUACAGCAGCUGUGAGAGAGGAGUGAGAUAAUGGGAGAAAGAACUCUUCAGAUGCCAAGGUCAGUGAAGAAGGAGAGGGAAGAAGUGCCCUAGGUGAUGGAGCACAGAUUCCCCUGCAAGUCAUGGAGAGGAUCAUGUUGGAACAGAUGGCCCAACACCUAUGGCCCAAUGAGAAGACCGUGGUGAGGCAGACUGUGCCCCGAACCCAUGGAGGAGCAUGCUGGAGCAGAUAACCAUCUGCAGCACAUGAACAAAUCCAUGUAUACCACCUGCUGGGGCAGGUAGAGUUGCCCUGAAGGAAACUACAGCCUGAGGUCAUUGACCACUUCAUAAUUCAUGGCAUUGAGUUUGAUCAGGUACAACUUUAAAAGGAUAUAUUUGAUGCUAAUGAAGAUAUUAAUGUGGAAGAAGUGAUCUACAAAUGGAUUGAAAAAGAUCUGGAGCAGCAUAUGAAAGCAGGGGAUGAAGUCUGUGCUAAACUGACUGGUGAACCACAAGAAAAAACUCUUCCUAAUUACACAGGAGGAGCAUAGAGAUUUGUAAAAUGAUGUUAAUAAUGUGAAGCUGCUCAGUAAGUCAUAUUAGCAGCAUUUGUGUUUUGGUGUAAUAGAACAUUAUUGGAACUUUGCUUUUUAAAAACACUACUCUCCUUUUUCUACUGAGGAUGUGAUUAAACUUGUACUGAUGUCAGCAGAAGGACUUGGUUUAAAAUAAGCAUGUAACUCAUAUUAUCAUUAAGUUACAGUAAUUAUAUGCAUCAUCAAAAGCAGAAUGUGCCCCUAGGUGCGUUCUACUGUAAACUCUGCAGUGUACUGUACACACAUUUUGUAGUUCAUUUUAAAACCUGGAGAUAAAAUCUUUUAUGGGAAAAUUACAGAUUUGGGAAUGCAUUUUAUAUCAGGAAUUAUUAUUACUUGAUAUAAGAGUGAAUUUCAUUGUAUUACAAAAACCUGUGAAUGUCCCUCUGUAUGUUUACACCUCAGUGUAGGGUUAUCAGUGAAGGGCAAGAGUGAACCCAGAUAUUCCAGCUGAAUGUCAGGUUGGUGGAAUCAGUAGAUCUUAACUCAGCUCAAAGGUUUAGAUAGUAGCCUGUGUGUAUCUGAGAUUCUGGAUGACUUUUGUCUCUAUGAAUCUGCUUAUUGGCACAGUCAAGUUUCUCUUAACAAAAUACCCUAAAUCUCCAUUAAAUGUUGAGUUAAUGUUUGACUAUUUUAGUUUUUUACAUAUAUUACUGAUGUUUAGGGCUUUUUCAUAAUACUGAAUGAAGUUACUGCUUUCUGACUUCUUGAAUAUUCUUCUGAUGUAGUGCAAAAUCACUUUAUUCUUCUGUACUAAUUUCAGAGAUGGCAUCAUCUAAGUAUUUAAGAUAACUUCCUGGUUUACGUGAUACAUUCUCUUUUGUUUCUUUUCCUUUUGUAAUGGUCUUCCAACAGCAAAUAUUUUUUGCAUUUGAAUCUCUGGAUUACAUGGCUUCCCACAAAAAUGAAUACAUGAGAGAGUAAAAAUAUGUAAUACAAAACCACAUAUGUCAGUUGUGUUCUUGCUCAAGGUUCCCUCCAGCUAAGCAAAACCCAGUUUAACUAACUGAUAUCCUGCUCACAAGCAAUUUGGAGCAAGGCUGAAAGCCAACUCUAAAUUAAUCCUAUGUCAAAGUAUUCAAAAUAAUAGGAUGUCUCACAUGUUUUCAGUAAUUUUUUUGGUAUUUCCAAGUGCCAUUCCAGGACAGGUCUCCCUCCAUCUGAUUGACAAGGAUCAAGAAAAGAAACUUAAAUAAGUAACAGGAAAAGCUGUGUCUUAGCAAAAGCAGCUUUGUUUGAAUAAGGGAAAAACUUGGUUUUUAUCUUCAGGUAUUAGUAGGAAUCUCCACAUCAUUAGUAAUUAGGCACUAUGGUUUUCUUUUAAAUUACUGCCCAGUGGCCAGUCAACCAAGUAACUGUCUAUUUCACACCACAGAUGCUGAGACACCCAGUUCCUUAACCAGACAAAAGGUUUCUCAAACCUGUGCUCAUCUCUUUAUCCCAGGAGCCUGGCUGGAUCCUGUGAAGUGCAGCUAAUUUGAAUACAGCAUAUGCCAAAAGCAGAUAGCAAACAAGAAGUAAAUCUACUAUUGAGUAGUACAUGUUUAAGUGAGGGAAAUGCCCAGUGGAAACUCCCAUCUGAGCUAGCUUGGUGACUGAUUUUAAUUGUUGGAUUCUCUGCUAGCUCUCUGUAAAACACUUUUCUGACAGCUGUUUCACUAAACACAGAUAAGUAAAUAUGUAGUGGAUUUUCCAUCUGAACUCCAGCUUCCCACUGAAGCUGGGCCUUACAGACAGCAUUCAACAUUGGUAUAUGUUGAAUUCAUGUAGCCAAAUAAAGCUGAGUUUUAUGUGCUGGAAGCAAUGACUGUUACAGUAAAUCUAUAAAGUCUUAAUAGAUUCAAAAAGAAAAGAAGAAAAAAACCAGAAAGUAUUAAAAGUCCCAUUUGUAUUUGGAAUCAUUUUAUAGUGGCGCAACCCAGAAUGAAACAUUUAUUCAAAAUAACAGGCUAGAUUGAACUAUUAUGUAGAUAGUUCAAAGUUGCUGCAGCUAAAACCAGGAUAAAUUAAGCUGAAUGUGCCCUGGUAAAUGCUCUGGAACAUAAAUUUAAGUAAGUGUUUGCUGUGAAUACAAAUUUUGCCCUCCACAAAGUGAAUAAAAGCUCAACUUUAAAUAUAUCAUGUGUCUAUUCAAUGCCACAUUAUGUAAGUGCUGCUAGUCAUAAUGUUGUAUUUUGUCUGCUUUGUAGGCAAUUGCUUGGAGGGUCCUCAACAAAAUUAAUUUGGGAAAAAUUCAGAAAACAGAAAGAGAGUGGGUUACACUAUCCACUUCUUAAAUGCCUAAACAGACAAUAAAGCACGGAAGUGGUUACUCAAAUUUUGUUAGUUACAGUGCAUAAUAUUUCAGCUAAUUAUCUUAGUCUAUUUUGUAAAAUCAAACUCAAUGUGGUAAAAGAUUGAAAAUAACCAUAAUGAAUUUUUAAAUAUAUAAAUCAAAGCCAAUAGAACUCAUAUGCUUGCUUUUCUUAGUUAAUUUUAAUUUCUAGAAAUGUUCUCACAGUUUUAUAGGAUUUAGUCUGUGGCUCUGAGAAUGCCACACAGGAACUUAUAUUUUUAAGGAACCAUUUAUAAUGUAAAACCACCUGAAAAUGUUUCUAAACUCUGGAACCUUCUUUUAGAAGAUGUAUUGGUGUAUUCUCCUUGCUAGAAUUUUCUGCCUGCAAAAUUUCGUUCAUUAGUUACUGAUGGAAAAUGAGAGAAAGAGCUAUAUUUUGAGUGACUAAUUGUGUAAUCACAUAUCUGCAAAAACUGAAGCUAUAUAGAAUCUAUUGAACAACUAAGUAACUGAAAUAUCUGAAAAUGAAUUUAAUUUAAAUAAAUGAAGUCACAUUUUAAUAAACUAAUCUACGGGUGGAAUAUAUUUAUUUAAUCUGUAGCCAUUAACGUUAGGUAUUUAGUCUAAAUCAGUUGUCCAAGUCCUUUUCUAUUCUACAAAGAGUUAAGUAUCUCCAGAGAAAAUGAAGAUUGGAAACAGUUAUCUCCCUUUGCUUACUAUGUAGAAGAAGCCUGAAUUUAGCCUUAACAUCCAACCUUUAGAUUAUAAAAACUAGGUUAUCUGAGGCACAUUAAAUGCUUUCAAUGGGGACUGCUCAUAGACUGAGGUAAGAGUCACUCUUGGAAGGUAGUUACAGUUCCCCUUCCUGUUAAACCCCUUACCUUUCAUGUCUGAUGGACAACUAGAUGGAUGAAUCUCUUGUGUUGCAAGAUCAGAACGGUUGAUUAGCACGAAUACAAUUCCUGGAGACCAUAGUUCUUUCAUAAGUGAUUUCUGUAAGAACUUUGCAUAACAAUUCAUUAGUGGUGCUAAAACAGCAGGCCUAAGAGCUCAUUAUGUAAAAUCCAGUGUACAUGAAAAAGAAAUGCGGCAAAUGGCCAUUUGUUGUGAAAUCGACCAAAACAUCUUGCAGCAAAAUAAACAGGGAAAAAUUACAAGGCCUGUUAUAAAAGUAAUAUAAACAAAGCACAGAAAAUAAAAACCAGAACUUUUUGUUACCCAUUCUCAUUCUCUUAUGCUGAAAAAAGUUUGAGAGAUACAAUGAAAGAGUCUGGCACUAAAACAAAAAUGUGAGUAAAAAUAAUAAUUUUAAAAAUUCCUUAAAGAGAUAAACUGAUUCCAGUUCACACUGAAUCAAGUGUGUUGAGAAUUAUGUUAACAGUUAUAAGUUAAUUUUUCAUGAAUGUCAUACCAGUAGUUUAUAUGCCUAAAGAGACAGAGACUGCAGUGAGUUUCUGAGCUAUUGUAGGUCUGUUAAUAUUUUUUUGAAAUUGGAAUUUUCAUUAAUUUAAUGAAACUAGAAAAUUUUAAAGAUAAUUUCCUGAAAUGAACAGUGAAUAUAAUGUAGCAGAAAGGAAAACUUCAAAACAGUAAAAAAUUGGUUUGAAUUUUUGUAUCAUGCAGAAAUCUCUUGCUUGUGUCCUGUAUAAGUUUAGAAAAUAAUUGCUGAAGAGUGUGCUUUAGAGAGUUUGCAAAACAAAUGUAUUUCAAUCUGUAUACUAUGAUGUUUUUUUAAUAAGUGCCAUAUUAAAAGACAAAAUUUUAAAGCAUACAUGUAUUUCAGCAUACAUGCAGUAUCAUUAGGCUAGGGCUAAGGACAAUUUGAUUUGCCUUUGAUUUUGAAAGAGAAUAUGUGUGACUGAUCAGAUCCCCUCAUUAAUUACUGACUAAUUACUGAAAUGUUGACUUCCACAUUUGACUAAUCAUUUACGAGAGAUUUUAUCUCUGAAAGAACUUUCAUGCUUCUUUACAUGCAGCUUCAAGUGGGGAUAUGCUCUCUAUAAAUAUCAGCCAGCUAAUAUAUUAUGGAGAUCCAAAUGCUUCUUGCUUAUUUUAUGGCUAAAAUAAAUCUUUAGAGUAAUUAAGCUGUUAUAACGCCAAAACUGUUGUAUAUUGGGCUUUCUGCUGUUGUCUUU